rnacentral:rRNA from 1 species
GAUGAACGCUGGCGGCGUGCCUAAUACAUGCAAGUCGAGCGAACAGACGAGGAGCUUGCUCCUCUGACGUUAGCGGCGGACGGGUGAGUAACACGUGGAUAACCUACCUAUGAGACUGGGAUAACUUCGGGAAACCGGAGCUAAUACCGGAUAAUAUAUUGAACCGCAUGGUUCAAUAGUGAAAGACGGUUUUGCUGUCACUUAUAAAUGGAUCCGCGCCGCAUUAGCUAGUUGGUAAGGUAACGGCUUACCAAGGCAACGAUGCGUAGCCGACCUGAGAGGGUGAUCGGCCACACUGGAACUGAGACACGGUCCAGACUCCUACGGGAGGCAGCAGUAGGGAAUCUUCCGCAAUGGGCGAAAGCCUGACGGAGCAACGCCGCGUGAGUGAUGAAGGUCUUCGGAUCGUAAAACUCUGUUAUUAGGGAAGAACAAAUGUGUAAGUAACUAUGCACGUCUUGACGGUACCUAAUCAGAAAGCCACGGCUAACUACGUG